rnacentral:tRNA from 1 species
GUCUGGGUGUUGUAGUUGGUUAUCACGUUAGUCUCACACACUAAAGGUCCCCAGUUCGAACCUGGGCUCAGACA